GUAGGUGGUUCGCCUGCGAAAUCAGUCUGCUUAGGCAGGCAACAUCUCUACUGUGCUAGAAAUUACAAUAGUAUUACUAGCAGCCUGCUUAGCAGGUUCACAGAUCAAAUAGAGGUGGCCCUCUGGGGUUAAGAUAUGAUCGAUUUAAUGCUGCAACAGCAUUUUUCUAGUGGAACCUGCGGAAGGAUCAUUAAAGAGUUUAUGGACUUCGGUCUACUACUCCACCCUUUGUUUACAAUACCAUUGUUGCUUUGGCAGGCCCGUCGAAAGACAACCGGCUUCGGCUGGUCAGUGCCUGCCAGAGGACCUAAAACUCUUGAUUUAUUAUUGUCUGAGUACUAUAUAAUAGUUAAAACUUUCAACAACGGAUCUCUUGGUUCUG
rnacentral:misc_RNA from 1 species